ensembl:lncRNA
AUGUGUCUAUUUAUAAUGUAUAUUUUACACCAUGCAAUUUUCAAUUCUAUAACGGUGUCUUCAGUAAAAGCAAAGAUGCUGGAAGGCACUUCUGGAUUUCCUCCUUCAAAAACCGCAUGUUCUUACUGUGUUCUACAGCAAAGUGCCGCCGAGGCUGUUUCCAUUGCAACACCAUUCUGUAAAGAGAAGCGCCGCAGGUUUUGUGUUACCCGCAGAGACUUAAGUGCGACGUUGAGAGGCGCGUUCACGCAACAUGGUAACACGUGUCCCAGGAAAACCUUGCCCCCUGUCUGAACUACUCCACAACAUCUUGAUGAAGUUUGAAGGCACCUGGCAUUGAUGGUAUUCCCAUCUAAUGACUGCAGGAGUCAGACGCAGCUGGUUAAAUACUAAAAAAACUCUGUUAAGAAAUCUGGAAUAUAAUGCAGUGGCCAACACAUUGGAAAAGAUCUGUGUUCAUACCAAUAUUAAAGAGGGAUGGGAAUUAUCGCACGAUUGCCUUGAUCCCACAGGCCAGCAAAAUAUUCCUCAAGAUUCGUCAGUGGAGAUUGCAACCGUACUUGGAGCAAGAACUGCCUAUAGAGUAAGCAGGAUUCAGGAAAGGGCGAGGGACAAGGGAUAUCAUCACAAAUAUGAGAUGGAUUCUUGAAAAGGCUAAAGAACAUCAAAAGGAUAUCUACAUGUGCUUCAUCGACUACAGCAAGGCGUUUGAUUGUGUGAAUCAUCAAUACCUCUGGACCUUGCUACGAAGCAUGGGUAUACCAGAACACUUGGUUGUUCUCAUGCGCAACCUUUACAACGACCAAGAAGCAACAGUUUGAACAAGACAAGGGGAAACAGAAUCGUUCAAAAUUGGUAGGGGCGUAAGACAAGGCUGCAUACUCUCUACGUAUCUGUUCAAUUUACAGUAUAUGCGGAAAAGAUCAUCAGGGAAGCAGGGCUCUAUGAAAAGAAACUGGGCGUGAAAAUCAGCAGAAUCUUCGCUAUGCUGAUGAUAUGACCAUACUAGCUGAAAGUGAGGAUGAUUUGACACAUCUGCUCACCAAGAUCAAAGAACAUCGUUUGACAAUGGACUUGCAUCUCAACGUGAAGAAGACGAAGUUCUUCACUGCUAGCAAACUGGAAAACUUCACACUUGAUGGAGAAGACAUAGAAAUAGUACAUAACUUCAGUCUACUCGGAUUAAUAAUCUAUAAAGAAGUGACAAGCAACCAAGAAAUCCGACAACGAUUUGCUGUGGGAAAAACCGCCAUGAAGAGCUUGGACAAAAUUCUCAAGUGGAUGUGACUCUGUACACAAAAGUUCAACUAGUUCAAGCCAUGGUCUUCUCUGUCACGUCAUGCGAAUGCAAGAAUUGGACAGUGAAGAAGAUGGACAGGAAGAAAAUUGAGGCCUUCGAACUAUGGUACUGGCAAAGAAUCCUGCAUUUACCCUGGAUGGCCCAGAAAACAAAUGUGUGGGUUUGCAGCAGAUAAACGAAAGACGUCAUUGGAAGCUCAGACGACAUGGCUUUGACUCUCUUACUUCGGACACAUUGUGUGGAUAGAACAGUCAAUGGAAAAGGAUGUCACGCUGGGCAAAGUGGAAGGUCAAUGUAGAGCUACGUGGUAGAUCGACACAAUCACCACAUCCAUGGAUGCCCCACUUUCGAGUCUUAGCUGGUUGGCGGAAGACUGGAUGCUUUUCAGGACAACUAUCCACAGAGUUGCCAUGAGUUAACUUCGACUCAACGACACCUAACAACAACGUGAUUAGAGGAAAGGGGAGGUGGAGAUGGGGUGUUAUCCAAUCUGUGUGUGUGUUUGUGUGUGUGUGAGGGGUGUAAAAUGGAUCCAUAAUGAAGCUGAAGGGUCAUGCCCAAGAGGGGCUGACCCAUUAUUUUUUUUAGUCAGUACUAAUUUUAAAAUUGAGGCAUCUAACAGCUGAUAUUAAGUAAAUGAUGGACAUGUCACAAAUUUGCCACACACCCCCUCACAUUCAAAGCAUGAAUUAUGAAACAAACUCAUGUGUCAUUGUAGCACGUAGAGGCUGCCCAGGGAGGGGGCGGAGACGGAAUUAAAGCAGCCACAGCUGGGGCUGAUUUCAUCCCCGAUUUCAUCCCCUAUUUCUUCCCCGGUGCCCGGCAGUAGAGAGAAGAGACCAAGGAGGAGAACCAGACCGAGACGACCGCCGACCCGAUCCCUGACACGAAGCCCUCGUCCCGAUCGACCCUACUCUCCCAGCCUGCACGAAACCCUUCCCUACCUGUUCCCUGCUUCCCCUUUCCCAUCUCCGUCCUUCUCCGCUGUCUAGCAAAUAAAAGCCCACAGCUACGGGCGACUGCA